GAGUUCAAUUCUGGCUCAGGAUUAACGUUGGCGGCAUGCUUAACACUUACAAGUCGGACAAGUGAGUAACGCGUAAGAACCUGCCCUUGGGAAAGGAACAACAGCUGGAAACGACUUCUAAUACCCUGUAGGCUGAGAAGCAAAAUGAAGAAUCCACUCGAGGAGGGGCUCACGUCUGAUUAGCUAGUUAAUGAGGCAAUAGCUUACCAAGGCGAUAAUUAGUAGCUAGUUCGAGAGGAUGAUCAGCCACAUUGGGACUGAGACACGGCUCAGACUCCUUCAGGAGGUAGUAGUAGGGAAUUUUUUGCAAUGGGUGAAAGUCUGACGGAGCAAUGUUGCGUGGAGGUAGAAGGCCCAUGAGUCGUGAACUUCUUUUCUCAGAGAAAAAGCAAUAACAGUAUGUAACAUCCCUAACAUGUAUCCAUCAUUAGAACAGGGUUACAGAUCAUUACC
rfam:Gossypium hirsutum cultivar TM-1 scaffold5485.1_1, whole genome shotgun sequence